GACGAACGCUGGCGGCGUGCUUAACACAUGCAAGUCGAACGGAAGGGCCCUGCUUUUGUGGGGUGCUCGAGUGGCGAACGGGUGAGUAACACGUGAGUAACCUGCCCUUGACUUUGGGAUAACUUCAGGAAACUGGGGCUAAUACCGGAUAGGAGCUCCUGCUGCAUGGUGGGGGUUGGAAAGUUUCGGCGGUUGGGGAUGGACUCGCGGCUUAUCAGCUUGUUGGUGGGGUAGUGGCUUACCACGGCUUUGACGGGUAGCCGGCCUGAGAGGGUGACCGGCCACAUUGGGACUGAGAUACGGCCCAGACUCCUACGGGAGGCAGCGGUGGGGAAUAUUGCACAAUGGGCGGAAGCCUGAUGCAGCAACGCCGCGUGCGGGAUGACGGCCUUCGGGUUGUAAACCGCUUUCGCCUGUGACGAAGCGUGAGUGACGGUAAUGGGUAAAGAAGCACCGGCUAACUACGUG
rnacentral:rRNA from 1 species